UUUCCGUAGGUGAACCUGCGGAAGGAUCAUUAUUGAUUUUUAAAGAUGUGCUGGCCUUUCUGGUAUGUGCACUCUUAAAAAACCCAAUAUCCACCUGUGCACUCAUUGUAGGCUUUGCCUAUGCUUUUUUACACACACCUUUGAUAUAUUUGAAUGUCAUUGAUUAACCAAUUGUAAAACAACUUUCAACAAUGGAUCUCUUGGUUCUC
rnacentral:misc_RNA from 1 species